rnacentral:rRNA from 1 species
CAAUAGCGUAUAUUUAAGUUGUUGCAGUUAAAAAGCUCGUAGUUGGAUUUCGGAUGGGACUUGCCGGUCCGUCGUUUCGAUGUGCACUGGCCAGUCCUAUCUUGUUGUCGGGGACUAGCUCCUGGGCUUCACUGUCCGGGACUAGGAGCUGACGAGGUUACUUUGAGUAAAUUAGAGUGUUCAAAGCAAGCCUACGCUCUGAAUACAUUAGCAUGGAAUAACACGAUAGGACUCUGGCUUAUCUUGUUGGUCUGUGAGACCAGAGUAAUGAUUAAGAGGGACAGUCGGGGGCGUUCGUAUUUCAUUGUCAGAGGUGAAAUUCUUGGAUUUAUGAAAGACGAACUUCUGCGAAAGCAUUUGUCAAGGAUGUUUUCAUUAA